rnacentral:rRNA from 1 species
CAGCCGCGGUAAUACGAAGGGGGCUAGCGUUGUUCGGAAUUACUGGGCGUAAAGCGCACGUAGGCGGACAUUUAAGUCAGGGGUGAAAUCCCGAGGCUCAACCUCGGAACUGCCUUUGAUACUGGCGAUCUCGAGUCCGGGAGAGGUGAGUGGAACUCCUAGUGUAGAGGUGAAAUUCGUAGAUAUUAGGAAGAACACCAGUGGCGAAGGCGGCUCACUGGCCCGGUACUGACGCUGAUGUGCGAAAGCGUGGGGAGCAAAC